rnacentral:rRNA from 1 species
GGAGGGCAAGUCUGGUGCCAGCAGCCGCGGUAAUUCCAGCUCCAAUAGCGUAUAUUAAAGUUGUUGCAGUUAAAAAGCUCGUAGUUGAAUUUCGGGGUCUGUCCAUUGGUCGGGCUUCACGGUCCGUACUGGUGUGAUGGGUUCCUACCUUCUGAAUAACCAGCAUGCCAUUCAGUUGGUGCGUUGGGGAAGCAGAGCUAUUACCUUGAAAAAAUUAGAGUGCUUAAAGCAGGCUAGUGCUUGAAUAGAUUAGCAUGGAAUAAUAAAACAGGACGGCAUGGUUCUAUUUUGUUGGUUUCUAGGAUCACCGUAAUGAUUAAUAGGGAUAGUUGGGGGCAUUAGUAUUCAAUUGUCAGAGGUGAAAUUCUUGGAUUUAUUGAAGACUAACUUCUGCGAAAGCAUUUGCCAAGGAUGUUUUCAUUAAUCAAGAACGAGAGUUAGGGGAUCGAAGACGAUCAGAUACCGUCGUAGUCUUAACCAUAAACUAUGCCGACUAGGGAUCGGACGAUGUUAAUUUUUUAAUGACUCGUUCGGCGCCUUACGGGAAACA